rnacentral:rRNA from 1 species
UACGUAGGGGGCAAGCGUUGUCCGGAUUUAUUGGGCGUAAAGAGCGUGUAGGCGGCUUUACAGGUCCGUUGUGAAAACUCGAGGCUCAACCUCGAGACGCCGGUGGAAACCGUAAGGCUAGAGUCCGGAAGAGGAGAGUGGAAUUCCUGGUGUAGCGGUGAAAUGCGCAGAUAUCAGGAAGAACACCAAUGGCGAAGGCAGCUCUCUGGGACGGUACUGACACUGAGACGCGAAAGCGUGGGGAGCGAACAGG